rnacentral:snoRNA from 1 species
UGAUGAAUGAAAUCAAAUCACCAUCUUUCGGCUGA